GGGUUGUGAGGUUAAGCGACUAAGCGUACACGGUGGAUGCCCUGGCAGUCAGAGGCGAUGAAGGACGUGCUAAUCUGCGAUAAGCGUCGGUAAGGUGAUAUGAACCGUUAUAACCGGCGAUUUCCGAAUGGGGAAACCCAGUGUGAUUCGUCACACUAUCAUUAACUGAAUCCAUAGGUUAAUGAGGCGAACCGGGGGAACUGAAACAUCUAAGUACCCCGAGGAAAAGAAAUCAACCGAGAUUCCCCCAGUAGCGGCGAGCGAACGGGGAGGAGCCCAGAGCCUGAAUCAGUGUGUGUGUUAGUGGAAGCGUCUGGAAAGGCGCGCGAUACAGGGUGACAGCCCCGUACACAAAAAUGCACAUACUGUGAGCUCGAUGAGUAGGGCGGGACACGUGGUAUCCUGUCUGAAUAUGGGGGGACCAUCCUCCAAGGCUAAAUACUCCUGACUGACCGAUAGUGAACCAGUACCGUGAGGGAAAGGCGAAAAGAACCCCGGCGAGGGGAGUGAAAAAGAACCUGAAACCGUGUACGUACAAGCAGUGGGAGCCUCUUUAUGGGGUGACUGCGUACCUUUUGUAUAAUGGGUCAGCGACUUAUAUUCUGUAGCAAGGUUAACCGAAUAGGGGAGCCGAAGGGAAACCGAGUCUUAACUGGGCGUUAAGUUGCAGGGUAUAGACCCGAAACCCGGUGAUCUAGCCAUGGGCAGGUUGAAGGUUGGGUAACACUAACUGGAGGACCGAACCGACUAAUGUUGAAAAAUUAGCGGAUGACUUGUGGCUGGGGGUGAAAGGCCAAUCAAACCGGGAGAUAGCUGGUUCUCCCCGAAAGCUAUUUAGGUAGCGCCUCGUGAAUUCAUCUCCGGGGGUAGAGCACUGUUUCGGCAAGGGGGUCAUCCCGACUUACCAACCCGAUGCAAACUGCGAAUACCGGAGAAUGUUAUUACGGGAGACACACGGCGGGUGCUAACGUCCGUCGUGAAGAGGGAAACAACCCAGACCGCCAGCUAAGGUCCCAAAGUCAUGGUUAAGUGGGAAACGAUGUGGGAAGGCCCAGACAGCCAGGAUGUUGGCUUAGAAGCAGCCAUCAUUUAAAGAAAGCGUAAUAGCUCACUGGUCGAGUCGGCCUGCGCGGAAGAUGUAACGGGGCUAAACCAUGCACCGAAGCUGCGGCAGCGACACUAUGUGUUGUUGGGUAGGGGAGCGUUCUGUAAGCCUGUGAAGGUGUGCUGUGAGGCAUGCUGGAGGUAUCAGAAGUGCGAAUGCUGACAUAAGUAACGAUAAAGCGGGUGAAAAGCCCGCUCGCCGGAAGACCAAGGGUUCCUGUCCAACGUUAAUCGGGGCAGGGUGAGUCGACCCCUAAGGCGAGGCCGAAAGGCGUAGUCGAUGGGAAACAGGUUAAUAUUCCUGUACUUGGUGUUACUGCGAAGGGGGGACGGAGAAGGCUAUGUUGGCCGGGCGACGGUUGUCCCGGUUUAAGCGUGUAGGCUGAUUUUCCAGGCAAAUCCGGAAAAUCAAGGCUGAGGCGUGAUGACGAGGCACUACGGUGCUGAAGCAACAAAUGCCCUGCUUCCAGGAAAAGCCUCUAAGCAUCAGGUAACAUCAAAUCGUACCCCAAACCGACACAGGUGGUCAGGUAGAGAAUACCAAGGCGCUUGAGAGAACUCGGGUGAAGGAACUAGGCAAAAUGGUGCCGUAACUUCGGGAGAAGGCACGCUGAUAUGUAGGUGAAGCGACUUGCUCGUGGAGCUGAAAUCAGUCGAAGAUACCAGCUGGCUGCAACUGUUUAUUAAAAACACAGCACUGUGCAAACACGAAAGUGGACGUAUACGGUGUGACGCCUGCCCGGUGCCGGAAGGUUAAUUGAUGGGGUUAGCGGUAACGCGAAGCUCUUGAUCGAAGCCCCGGUAAACGGCGGCCGUAACUAUAACGGUCCUAAGGUAGCGAAAUUCCUUGUCGGGUAAGUUCCGACCUGCACGAAUGGCGUAAUGAUGGCCAGGCUGUCUCCACCCGAGACUCAGUGAAAUUGAACUCGCUGUGAAGAUGCAGUGUACCCGCGGCAAGACGGAAAGACCCCGUGAACCUUUACUAUAGCUUGACACUGAACAUUGAGCCUUGAUGUGUAGGAUAGGUGGGAGGCUUUGAAGUGUGGACGCCAGUCUGCAUGGAGCCGACCUUGAAAUACCACCCUUUAAUGUUUGAUGUUCUAACGUUGGCCCCUGAUCGGGGUUGCGGACAGUGUCUGGUGGGUAGUUUGACUGGGGCGGUCUCCUCCUAAAGAGUAACGGAGGAGCACGAAGGUUGGCUAAUCCUGGUCGGACAUCAGGAGGUUAGUGCAAUGGCAUAAGCCAGCUUGACUGCGAGCGUGACGGCGCGAGCAGGUGCGAAAGCAGGUCAUAGUGAUCCGGUGGUUCUGAAUGGAAGGGCCAUCGCUCAACGGAUAAAAGGUACUCCGGGGAUAACAGGCUGAUACCGCCCAAGAGUUCAUAUCGACGGCGGUGUUUGGCACCUCGAUGUCGGCUCAUCACAUCCUGGGGCUGAAGUAGGUCCCAAGGGUAUGGCUGUUCGCCAUUUAAAGUGGUACGCGAGCUGGGUUUAGAACGUCGUGAGACAGUUCGGUCCCUAUCUGCCGUGGGCGCUGGAGAACUGAGGGGGGCUGCUCCUAGUACGAGAGGACCGGAGUGGACGCAUCACUGGUGUUCGGGUUGUCAUGCCAAUGGCACUGCCCGGUAGCUAAAUGCGGAAGAGAUAAGUGCUGAAAGCAUCUAAGCACGAAACUUGCCCCGAGAUGAGUUCUCCCUGACUCCUUGAGAGUCCUGAAGGAACGUUGAAGACGACGACGUUGAUAGGCCGGGUGUGUAAGCGCAGCGAUGCGUUGAGCUAACCGGUACUAAUGAACCGUGAGGCUUAACCUUACAACGCCGAAG
rnacentral:rRNA from 1 species